rnacentral:rRNA from 1 species
GACGAACGCUGGCGGCGUGCCUAAUACAUGCAAGUUGAGCGCUGAAGGUUGGUACUUGUACCAACUGGAUGAGCAGCGAACGGGUGAGUAACGCGUGGGGAAUCUGCCUUUGAGCGGGGGACAACAUUUGGAAACGAAUGCUAAUACCGCAUAAAAACUUUAAACACAAGUUUUAAGUUUGAAAGAUGCAAUUGCAUCACUCAAAGAUGAUCCCGCGUUGUAUUAGCUAGUUGGUGAGGUAAAGGCUCACCAAGGCGAUGAUACAUAGCCGACCUGAGAGGGUGAUCGGCCACAUUGGGAAGGAGACACGGCCCAAACUCCUACGGGAGGCAGCAGUAGGGAAUCUUCGGCAAUGGACGAAAGUCUGACCGAGCAACGCCGCGUGAGUGAAGAAGGUUUUCGGAUCGUAAAACUCUGUUGGUAGAGAAGAACGUUGGUGAGAGUGGAAAGCUCAUCAAGUGACGGUAACUACCCAGAAAGGGACGGCUAACUACGUG